rnacentral:rRNA from 1 species
UACGUAGGGUGCGAGCGUUGUCCGGAAUUACUGGGCGUAAAGAGCUCGUAGGUGGUUUGUCGCGUUGUUCGUGAAAACUCACAGCUCAACUGUGGGCGUGCGGGCGAUACGGGCAGACUGGAGUACUGCAGGGGAGACUGGAAUUCCUGGUGUAGCGGUGAAAUGCGCAGAUAUCAGGAGGAACACCGGUGGCGAAGGCGGGUCUCUGGGACGGUACUGACGCUGAGACGCGAAAGCGUGGGGAGCGAACAGG